CUCCUGGGUAAGCGGCACUCGGUGGAGAGCGCGCCUCAGAGCGGUGCAGGGGUCAGCCGCGAGAGAGGUGGCCGCGGAGCGGGUCUUACUGGCUUCUCAGGUAAAAAUAAAUAAAUAGAGAAUUAAAGGUGUAACUGCGCACACAGCUCUGGACAGGAUUGGGUCAGCUGGUUUGGUUUGAAUUUCUGGCGAGGCAGUGCUUUCAGUUGCACUGUACAAGGUGCCACAGUGUUUUAGGCACUUGACACGGUAACUCAUCAACAGCUGUUGAAGUUGUGCUGUUUUCAUUAAGUGCACUACAUGCAACUGAAAGCAGAGUGGACAGUGUAUCAGUUAAAACCAAAGAUACAACAGGAAUAAAUAGGGUAAGAAGAAUAAUGAGAGGAAAGUGCAACACCUGUGUGUCGUGCAGCUUUGUGGAAACACCGAAUGUUCCUGUUAGCUGGCGCAAAAAAAACACCACAUAUUUGUUCUUACUGUGACUACCCACGUGUCAUCUCGUGUGUUGCCUGUUGACAGACCAAUACAUGUAACAGGUCCUGGGCCAGAAGACCUUGUAAUCUACAAUUAAUCUUGAAUGUGUAAUUACUGUCCCAGUACACACACGCAAACCAAAAACAUUGCUUGUGGUUAGAGCAGCCAGCAGCCUGCACAAAACUCUCAUCAGCUUUGUUUCAGACCAUGCUGCAUAUGUUUCCCUUUUGCUGUCUGGCUUCUUUGGCCUUGCUCUAACUUCUGACCUCUCCUCCAAACAAUACCAAUUGCCCAGUUACUUCACAGAACUGGUCUAUGUAUCUUACUUUCACAGAAGUUGUGCAACUCAUGUUUUGACUGUGUUUCAGUUAUUUAAAGUCUUUGACAGAGAGCAGGAAGAAUCUUACUCUGACAGUUGCUCACCCUUCCCUUCUGUUGACAGUCACUGCUUCAUAGCAGAAGUGGCAGAAGCACAUGGAUGACAGUACUCCACUACCCCAACAUUAACUUAAUCUGUAGGUUGCAUGAGAGCUGGAGAAGCUGAAGUCCAUGCAGAGAUUUUCUUCAGAUGUACAUGCUAGAAAGGUCAUAGUAUCUAGAAGGAAAAGGGGAGAAAGCACACAACUGUAAUUUGUACCAUUGCAGCUGUUGGCUUCUCUGUGUGUGAGUCAGUGCUCAGAGAGCUAGAUGGGUAAAACAGAGGAAAUGGGAUUUUCCUAUAACUGAGUCACGUAAUAAGUGAAGACACGUAGCAAACUUUGUCAUCUAACAUACUGUAUAUGUUCAUGUCCCAUAAAUGUAAUAUAUCAGUGGGUUGCAAAGCAAUGACCUGCUCUUAAGACAUCUGCAGUAUUCUUUGUGACCUUCAUAUUGUCUGUUAUGCACACUUGCCUUGAAGUUUGCUUGGCUUCAGUUGUUGAUCUUGAUCUGUGAGUCCACAUCCAGAUAAGUAGUUGUACCUUGCAAUUUUUCCACAGCUGCCUCAGCAGCAUCUGGAUGAGCAAGGAACAAAGUCUACAAAUGUCUAUUCUGCUGGGUCAUUUAUUUCUUUUUAUACUCCCUCUAGCUCUCACUAUGGCUUCACCAGCUCAUGUGAAUGGCAGAGUUUAUAUGUCAGGAUUUGUAUUAAAUUUGGAUAGCAUAGUGCCUCUUCGACAGUCAAGUUCACUGUCUUCAUCAAAGGUAAAGUGCUGGUUUUGUUCACCUGCCAAAUUGGUUGUCUUUACCAUUUACCUGUUUUCUUACCCAGGUCACUCGGAUUUACUGACAGACCAAUUUUGGAUUUAGAUACUUCAGGAACUUUGCUGUUCUCUGUGGCUCUUUCUCCAGGUGGUUUCCUGUCUUCUUAAGACCUUACCACAUCUCAUUCCUGCUGAGAAUUUCUGACUGGUCACAUAGAAUCAUAGAAUAGUUAGGGUUGGAAAGCACCUUAAGAUCAUCAAGUUCCCACCCCCCUGCCAUGGGCAGGGACACCUCACACUAAACCAUGUCAACCCAAGGCUCUGUCCAACCCAGCCUUGAACACUGCCGGGGAUGGAGCAUUCACAACUUCCCUCCACAAUGCAUUCCAGUGCCUCACCAUCCUUACAAUAAAGAACGACCUCCUUAUAUCCGAUCUAAACUUCCCCUGUUUAAGUUUUAACCCGUUACCCCUUGUCCUAUCACUACAGUCCCUAAUGAAGAGUCCCUCCCCAGCAUCCUUAUAGGACCCCUUCAGAUACUGGAAGGCUGCUAUGAGGUCUCCACACAGUUCCUUCUCUUUCUGACUUCAUAGAUGUUUUGGAUCCAAGACAUACUGGUUCUUGGUCAUAUCUACUGUCGUUUUUGUCAUCCCAAACUGGGAUUACUGCAGCUAGUCCAGAUGCUGCAUCAAUUACUAGUCUUUCAGAGAUCGCAUAUCUGUUUGCAAACUUCUGCACAUUAUGAACUUAGAUUGCUUUAAGUCCUUUGAUGGCAUCUUCAGUUCUGUUAGAUUUUCCUAAACGUUCUUCAAAUCAACUUUGAAGUCAGAGACCUCCUCUGUUGUUUCACUAUAACUCAUAUUCUUUCUUUUUAAAAAUUAAAAUUGCUGCUGACACCUUUAAAGCUUUUCUAUAGUGGUUAGCCCGUAGCUAACAUUUGUACAAUCAUUAUUUUAGUAGCUAAAUGUUUCAGUUUGUUUGCCUGGGCAUUUCUUACGUGGUCUUAUGCAGUGGCUACUGGGUAUGCUAAAUGCAUGGUUUUUCUGAGGCAUCAAAAGUAACCAUACAUUUCAUUGUUCUCUGAUUCAUAACUGGUGAGUAAACCAUUUCAUGGUUAAAUGUUCAUCUUAAAGGUAUUAAAUUUUAGCACUAUUUAGAAUUAACUCCUUUAUUAAUACUGAAACUUUUACCCCAAAUGAAAAUUUUUAGUUUAACCCAUCCUUUUCAUUUAAAAAUUAGCAGGUCAUAUAAAUAUUUUGUAAGGAGUCAUUGAAAAGGAAAUAGAAUUGAGCUGCGUCAGAUAUACUGUGGCUUGUAUUUCCAGAAGUUCUCGUUUCAUUGUAAAACGUAUUUCAGUGUCAGUUCACAGACCCCUUGUGUUCCAGCUCCAGAAUUCUUCCAGGUGGCGCCAACAUUUUGUGGUGAGCUUUAUCAUGAAGUUUGGACUCAGCAGGUCAAGUGCUUUUGCCUGUGGCUUACACUGAUUUAGGCAGCAUUCAAUUCUGGAAACGAGAGAGUCCAGUACCACACAACAUUUUAACAGCAGAUUCAUCUGGUUAAGAAAAUACUAGAUGCUUGGUCCUUACCAUGUGAAUAUUGAAAGCCUGGAAAACAUCACUGCAAGUGAAGCUGCCUUUUGAGUCUCCCAAAGAGCAUAAAGGGGAGGAAAAAGAAAUACAAGAAGUUGAAGGAGAAAACCCCCUGCUAACCACAGGUAAAAAUUAUGUCACUGGCCUAGCAUGUCAACAGCUACUAACAGUGGGUCCAGGAUCAUUGCUUCUGUGACGUUGAAUACUAGGCUAUUUAUGGGAUAUUUAAAAUAUGUAAACAAAAAGAAUACUUUAAGCUGUUAUGAAAAUGUUGGAUUCAAAAGGUAUCACUGUUCUCUUCUGGUCCAUUCAAGCCUGUUGCAGCAGACCUCUUUUUGUUAGUCACAGCUCUUGCAAACCUCUUUAAUAUUCCAUCUGAUUUACUCAACAUUAGUAUUAUUCUAACUGUCAAAUACAAAGAUAAUAGUGUUGCAUAUAACUUAGUACCAUGAAACCUGUGCUUUCCAUUCCUGUUUUGGUUUCACCACACACAAAUGGACCUUAAAAAUCUCAGAAAAUGGAAUAAAUCUGCAAGAAGCUAAAAGAAGACACCCGAACUCACUUCACACUAACCCUACUAUUUUGUUCCUUAAAUAUCUGCCACUGAUGAUUGUCAAAGAUAAUAAAGCAGCCAAA